rnacentral:lncRNA from 1 species
AUUUUCUAGAAUUUGUCAAGUUCUCCUGGCAGGUCUGCUGGAAAUUCUAUGAAGUGGCAGUUACAGGUGAUAUCUUGGAAACGCUUGAAAUGGAUGUUUGUUCACAUGAAGAGUUAUUUCUCCUGUCAUUUUUCCUGCUACUGUUGCAUUAGAUUCAUAAGCUUUCUCCUGUAUUGCAUUUAUUAGAUUCAUAAGCUUUCUCCUGCUACUAUUUCUCCUAUUAUUUCUCCUGUCAUUUUUCCUGCUA